UACGGAGGGGGCUAGCGUUGUUCGGAAUUACUGGGCGUAAAGCGUGCGCAGGCGGUUUUGUAAGACCGAUGUGAAAUCCCCGGGCUUAACCUGGGAACUGCAUUGGUGACUGCAAGGCUAGAGUGUGUCAGAGGGAGGUGGAAUUCCGCGUGUAGCAGUGAAAUGCGUAGAGAUGCGGAGGAACACCGAUGGCGAAGGCAGCCUCCUGGGGAUAACACUGACGCUCAUGCACGAAAGCGUGGGGAGCAAACAGG
rnacentral:rRNA from 1 species